AUCAUCACAGGUCCUGUACCUUCUCCUACAGCACAGCCUGGAGCCCGACUCCUGUACAUGGUGGUAGAAAUUACAGCCCAGGAGGCUCCAUAGUGAAGGGUUGUCAGAGGAGGACACGCCUGCCCCCAGGUUCCUACAAUAUAGGAUCUUCUCAGUGGAGAUCUUCUAUAUAAUAUCCUUCUUCUGAUUGACCUAUCAAGGAUGGAUAGGGACAGGGACAAGAUGGCAGAGAGGAUAAUAAAUCUCACCCUAGAGAUUCUCUUCCGGCUUACUGGAGAGGACUACACAGUGGUGAAGAAGGCCUCUAUUGAGCGCUGUCAGGACCCUGUGUCUGAAGGAUGGGGAAGAACCCUGAGCCCAAUCACAGGGCCUCCUUCUCACCCCCUGAUACAUGAG